rnacentral:misc_RNA from 1 species
CCUUUCCACAGGAUGAGAUAGAUAAGGAGUUGCCUGCCUCUCUUGUCCAUCUUACCAUUGAAGGAUUCGAAGACCUGAAAUAUCUUUCUAAGGGUUUCCAAAACCUCCCGUCAAUUGAACAUGUUAAGCUAAAAAGUUGCCCUAAGCUUGCCUCCUUUCCAGAGAAUGGUCUGCCUCCCUCUCUUUUGCAAUUGUGUAUCCGCAACUGCCCUGUACUUCAACAAAGGUGCGAGAAGGGUAAAGGGCAAGAGUCGCUAGAAGUAGCCCGCAUUCCGCUAGUGGAAUUCAACCAGCGAAGUUUUGUAUCUGGUAUGCUUCUUUUCUUUAACUUUCUUUUAAAUUUAUUUCUUUUCAGUUUGACUUUUUGUUAGUGAUAUGAGAAGUACAAAAAUAAAAAUGGUUGUAAAAUAACUUCAUGUUUUCUUUGUCAAUCUGUGGCGCUUCUAAGAGGAUUGGCCAUCUGGUGUUGCUUUAUCAUUUGUUUGUGCAUUGCAGAUGACUUUUAAAGAGGAGCAAUUUCAUUUUUACACUUCAUGACAAAUAUUUAUGCAGUAUUUAGAGGUAAUCUCUAUUGAUCAUUCUUCUGGCCUCAAUGACAAAUAUUUGUGCCAUAGUUGACAAGUAAUUUACCCAGUCACUUAGUUGUAGCUAUUACUGCGGUUAUAUAACCCUUUUGCCAUUGUAUUCUAUGAUUGCUUUCUCAUUUCAUAUAUUGUCUCUUUUGAUUCCAGUCAUUAAGAUUUGUGAAUCUUUUUUGGUAUUUUGGCAAUUGCUGGAAUGAUAGAUUCACUUGUCUAUCAUGUUCAAAGAGUAAUCAAGAAAAAAACAAGAAAUUGGCAAGUGCAGAUGAUAUUUCCAGUUGGCUUUUCGGCUCGAUGUUUUUGGGAGGAUGGGAAACAAUGGAAUUGUUUAUUCUCAAGAGCCAUGGACCUCUUCAUGAUAUUCACUCUACUUUCCAGUCAGUUUACAGGCUGUAGGCCAUAGACGUCAGAAUAUGAACCCAGCUCCUGUUUAAUCAAAUGAUGCUUGUUAUGUAUGUUCCGCAUCAAUGUCCAGUACUCCUGUUAGAUGGCAAUAUUUUAAUAAAAAGACCUUAGAGAAUUGGUAUGUCUGAAAGUCUCUCAGAUGCAAUUGUUGAUAGAUAGAUAGCAAGAGUAAUUUUGAAAGGAAAUCAAGUAUCAGAUGCCUCAAAUUCAUUGAAGGAAUGCAUUGUGGCACUACUUGGAAGACUUUUAGAUGAUGUCUUUUAGUUUCUUCAGUUAAAUUUCAUCAAGGGCAUUUAACAUAGAUGUUCUUAUUUCCUUUGUCCAUCUUAUCUAUUCAUCUAUGUAUUCAUGUGUCCAUGUUGUAUUGUGCUUGGGACACUUCUCUCUGGCUCUAGGAGCAUCUCUGAUGGCAUGAUGCUGCAGGCUAUAGCUGAAUGGUAUUUUCACACAUAUCCUUUGAAUUAGCUUUUAUUUGUUGUACAUUCUAUUGGGAAUUGUCAUUGUUUAAUUAACCUAUGAGGUCAUCAGGAAUCUGAAUGAAAAGCAACCCCAAAAAGAAACUAUGGCCACUGAUUAUGGCCACUGAUUAUCUGUGCACUAUUGGAAUAAUAUCUGUCAUUAAGGAAUUUGUUAAAAAGCUCUUAUAAUUGUUUGACUGAUGCUUUCAUCAUUGAUUUCAAUUGUUUGACCUAUUGUUUUUGAGAAUACAUGUGCAGGCUUGAUGAUUCCUUGGUUUUUGGUGAAUGCUUUAUAAUAUACAAGGAUCAUGUAUGUUCUAAACUCAAACAUAUUUGCAGACUAUGAGAUAUAACAAAGUCUAUA